rnacentral:rRNA from 1 species
ACAUGCCUACAACAUAGUGUUAAUGCAUUGGAUCCCAUUAGAACUUUGUAGUUAAGCACGCUCAGGCUAGAUUAGUAUUGGGAUGGGUGACCGCCCGGGAAGUCCUAGUGUUUUACAUGCC